CGUGAAAGGGUUCUUUCCAACCCACUUUCUUCUUUUCAAUUUCCUCAUAUCCUUCUUUCUCUCUCAUUACGUUCUCUUCCUACUUCUUCUCCAAAAACCAUUUACUUCACCAUUAACAUCAAAACAAAACUCAAACCCAGAAAACUUCACAUACUCAAAUAAACAUAACGAUGCCUAAACCAAACCAUUUCACCUCGAAAUCCCCAAUUUUAAACCCCAACAACAACAUGCAUCAAGAAAUUAAAGCUAAGAGUAAGCGGCGGAAUGAAUUAGGGUUUCAGAUUUGAAACUCCUAAUUCUUGGAGAUGAAUCGGCGAAGCGGCUUUGGGUGACUUCGCAACAAAAUCCUUCUUUUUCUACUCCUUCUCUUUCUCUUUUUUUUCGGUCCCUUUUUGUUAGCUUUAGGGUUUGAUUUUAUAGUCUUUUAGAUUAGAAUAAAUUAGGAAAUUAGUUUAAUGUUUGAUUCAAAUAAUAAUUAGGAUUGAAUGAGAUUUGGUAAUCAAAGUUUGAUUCGAUUUGUUGUA